rnacentral:lncRNA from 1 species
UUUGGUCUUCAAUCAGCAAAUAUAGACUCCAACCUACGCGUGAUAAAAUCAACGCGCUGAGUAUAAAACUCAGUGGUGCUCAUAAAACACAACAAACCAAUGUUGCGAUGGCAACACACUUAAAAUAUCAAUUUUCAUCAAAAGAUUUACAAUCAUAAAAUCAUUAACGCUUUAAUAUACAUUUACAUUUAUAACAAAAUGAUCAAAUAAAACUAUUAAUAUGUUAUUCGUUCAAAUCAUAAAUUCAUUAUUUGAAAUUGUAGUACACCAAUACAUAUACUGGUUAUUUAGAAAACCAUGUAACGUAAUAUCCUGCUUUGACAAUUCAUUUAAUAACAUAUAAUCAUUUAUUUCCAAGCUACCUGAAAAAUAUGUUUACAAGGGCUCACAUACACUUAGGAGAAAAAGAAGCAGAUAGGUUUUCAGAACAGAUUCAGAAUGGCCUUAGGUCGCCAACAGAUUCAGAACAUAUAGAGCGCGUCCGCCCUAACAGAACAGAAGGCACCCACGUGCUUAGCAUAUGAUCAUAGCUUCUUAUCAAAAUGGCAUCAAAUGCCGAGCAUGCUCAUCAUACAUAAUAAAAUCAAAUCAUGCAUAAAAUCCACACCAAGUAUAUUAGAGCCCAAAAUCCAUUUUUUUAUUCUUAUUUUUAUUCUGACUUUCCAUUGCUCAUAAAAUUUAUUUUCUGUAGUAUUCAUAAAAUUACAAUGAAAACUGAAUUUAAACUGAAUUCAUUCAUGAAACGUCUCAUACUUAAACCAAAGUACUUAACAUUGGAAAUUUCCAGCAUAAAAGCAAUCUUGACCUUUGCUGAGUUUUUAAUACAUAACUUGAGUUAUAUAUCUCCAAAUUUUAUGAAAUUAGAUUCAUUAGAACGAUAAGACACAAUUAUACAAUUGUUAUGAAGGAACCAUAACCCAGAUAAAUCUGCAAGAUAGGCAAAAUAAGCUAGGAACACAGACUGAUAGUCCAGACCGGAUUCAGCAGAACCAAGUCCAAUGUUUAUUGAAUUUCUCCGUAACCAGAAACUCAAAUUAAACCAAUACAACACCAGGGCAAUCUCAAGACACAGGGUAACAAAUCUCAUGAAGAGCUCAACACCUAAUCUUGCCAUUAUGGUGGUCAAAAUAGUCACUCAAUCUAUUGCUGCAUGUGGUACGUUACAACAGAGUCAGUUUAGGUGUUUUAGUCAUAAGUUGAGCUAUAUAUAUCAAAAUUGGACACAAGAGGAUGGGUUGGAAAGCUAAGAAGUAUACCUACAACUUUCAUGAAGGACUCAAAUACAGAGGGAAAAUAAAACGAAUAGAAAAACAGUCCUUAAACACACCCAUUAACAUUUUCCCUUGGUAAAAUUCUGCCACUUUUGGAAGAAGAAGAGAAAAAUAAUUUCUUCAUAAAUUCAACAUAUAGGUAGGCUUAGAAAACACUCAAGAACACAUUUAUACAACCAAAUUCCAGCAAUCAAAUCAUUUCAUACCAAAUCCCAAAUUUUCACAAAGUAGUACAAACUUCACAAAUCCAAAAAUUGAAGUAAGGUUAGUGUGUUUAUGAACACAAACCUUUAAAACAACUUGAAUCAAAGCUCCUUAAACUUUGGUCUUGCCUUUAUCUUUGUUAGAAGGCUCUCCACCCUCUACAUGUAAUAAGCUCAAAAUCAAAACAAAGAAAACAAAGAAAAGAAGAAAUUGGAGCAUGAUUAAGUAUGUAUAUGCUAAAAGAAAACUCUAAAUCCAAAAAUAAUGAAGUUUACUUCACCUAAUGAAUUCUCCAAAUUCCUUGAAAUUAAUCCCUAAAAACCACUUCUCAAGCUUUAAUCUCUAGAUUUUCUUACUUUAUUCAAGGUAAAUGGAGUGAAUUUGGUGAAUUAUUCAAGUAGAAAAUGGAGAAAACAAAGAGAAGAGAAAGAGAGGCUAAAGGUGAAAUGGAGGAGAAGAAGAUGAAGUUCACGUUAGAUGGAGAAGAAGAGGAAGAAAAAUAUUGCUCAAAUAAUGGAGUUGACUAAAGGGUAGUUUGG